rnacentral:lncRNA from 1 species
GGUCCACGGAAUAGUACCGUGGACCGUGAGAAAUAUGUGGAAAAUGCCCACGCAGUCCACAGGCCCACCCGUGGACCGCCCAAUCCACGGUGGACCGGGGUGUAGGGCCCAGGCGCCCUGCUUGGGCCUAGGCCGGCCCGUGCCCGCACGCAGGCCCACGCACCGGUUGAGCCGCGCGCCCGACUGGGCCAUGCGCUUGGGUCGCGCAUCCUGCAUAUUGGCCCCGCCUGGGCUGCGCGCCGCCGCCGGCCCACCGCCGGCCGCCGACGGUCC